rnacentral:tRNA from 1 species
UCCGAUCUUGGGCGGUUUUGUACCGCGGGCGGUUGUCGGUCGUUCAAGGUCGGCCUGGGGUGGGCGGUGCGGCCUCGCCGUCCAGAUC